CAGCAGCCGCGGUAAUACGUAGGGGGCAAGCGUUGUCCGGAUUUAUUGGGCGUAAAGAGCGUGUAGGCGGUCAGGUAGGUGGGUUGUGAAAACUGGAGGCUCAACCUUCAGACGUCGACCCAAACCCCCUGGCUAGAGUCCGGAAGAGGAGAGUGGAAUUCCUGGUGUAGCGGUAAAAUGCGCAGAUAUCAGGAAGAACACCCGUGGCGAAGGCGGCUCUCUGGGACGGUACUGACGCUGAGACGCGAAAGCGUGGGGAGCGAACAGGAUUAGAUACCCUGGUAGUCCACGCCGUAAACGAUGGGUGCUAGGUGUGGGGGGUGUCGACUCCCUCCGUGCCGAAGCUAACGCAUUAAGCACCCCGCCUGGGGAGUACGGCCGCAAGGCUAAAACUUAAAGGAAUUGACGG
rnacentral:rRNA from 1 species